rnacentral:lncRNA from 1 species
CACAUAAAGAAUGAAAGAAAACAGAGAAGUCUAUGCUGGCAUCUCAUCAAAAAUGAGGUUUGGAGAAUUAGGCCAGACAAAAUGUUUGCAACCCUCUACACAGUCAGAGGCAGCAGGAACCCUGCAAAUAAUUAAAUAGAAAUUUGAGUUUAAUAUACAAUCUUUUGCUCAAUAUGUGACACUGAGUAUUGUACCUUUGAUAUGAAAAUAUGUCGGUAUGAGAGCAUGUCUCUCAAUCUGCAGGCUGUGUGUUUGUAAUAAAUUCUGCUAAUGAAUUUGAGUAUUAAUGUUCAGUUUCUUAUGCCCAAGGUGAACUCAGACUUAUUAGUAAAUUUCACAGACCUGGGUAAGCAAAUAGUCAUUUGUGUGCUGACUUCAUUUUUUUUUUCCAAUUAGGAGAUGUCAUUCAGAGAAGAAUAGUUCUGUUCUAUGCUAUAGUUUUGGCUCAGUCCAAAUUCAAAUAAUUAGUAGGUUAUAGUAGUUUUUGACCAGGUGGUUUUAGUGGGGCUUAAAUUAUUCAUAAGUUAUUUUACUCAAAAUAGUGAAGAAAAUAUAUUAGUUUAAUUAAAAAAUUAAAUAUAAAUUGAAUAAAGUAAAAUAAUGGUGAAUUGAAUAUAGUAAAAUAAUGGUGAGGAGAGGGAAAGUUAGUAGUAUGAUUUCUUUUUAGAAUGGCAUGAAGUAAGUAAAAUAACAAACAUUGACACAGGAUGUUGGGAUAGGGGCCUGAUCUGAAAGGACAUGAGAAAAUUAUAAAGCUGCCAAGCUAGAAAAACAAUAAUAUAUACAGAGAGUUAUUAUUUCCUCAGCAUCUUUGCUUUUUAAUGGAAUAUUUCUUUCUGCAGUAAUCAAUGUAUUUAGUGGAAUGCUUUUUACUUUAAAAUGCAGAUGUACUUCUGGCAACUCAGCCUGAACUGGCCUUGUGGUAGGUUGUACUAUUGUUUAAAAAGGAACUGGUUGUAAAAAUAAGUCUUCAUUUCAAUGGAAGAAUUUAUUGUUCCAAUAAAAGGAAAGGCUCCCCAAAGUUAAAAUAUAUAUGUAUAGUAAAAUAACCAAGAGAAAUUAAGGUUAAUAGCAGCAUUUGACAAAUUCCCUACAGGUUUUUUUCAAGGCUUAUUUUAGCAUAACAUUUGUGAUUUUGCUUCUUGAACAACAUAAAUUUAUAACAGAAUUAUUUUAAAAGUCUAUGCCAACAUUUAAAAAUAACCUAAACUUGCUACUUAAAAAUACAUGAAGAUUAGGAUGUAUAAAUAAAAUACGUCACAGCAUCUCAAUGGAAAACUACAUAGUGGUGAGGAUGAACCUAGAACAGUAUGUAGAACGGGAGGUGAGUCUCAUCGUCUCAUGUCUAAUGUUGAGCAAAAGAAGCAGACAUAAAAGAAUACAUACUACAGCAUUCCUUUUGUAUUAGGGGAGAAAAUCACACAACUAAUCUAUGCUUAUGUCAUGAAUAUGUCUACCUUUUCAGGAGUAGUGACGGGAAAAAAGAAAUUUUGGCGUGCUGGUAAUGUUCUGUAAAUUGAUCUGGGGACAUGCUUUAUGUAUAAACAGAUAUAAAAUAUCAUUUGUAGGAGUUUCUGUUGUGGUGCAGCGGAAAUGAAUCCCCUAGUAUCCAUGAGGAUGCGGAUUCCAUCACUCGCCUCACUCAGUGGGUUGGGGAUCUGGUGUUGCCUUGAGCUGUGGUGUAGGUCGCAGAUGCAGCUCAGAUCCUGCAUUGCUCUGGCUGUGGUGUAGGCCAGCAGCUACAGCUCUGAUUCAACUCCUAGCCUGGGACUGCCAUAUGCCACUGGUAUGGCCCUAAAAAAAGCAAAAUAUCUAUAUCUAUAUAAUUUAUAAAGUAAAAACAAAAAUAUAUAUAUUACCUAAGUAAUUAUUUAAAAGCCUUUAGUGAGAAACUGCCCUAGAAGACUGGAAACCUGCUUCUGUUUUCUCCCUCAAAAAUGACUGUCAUGGCUCAGCAGGUUCUAUCCCUGGCCUCUCUCACUGGGUUAAGGAUCUGGUAUUGCCAUGAGCUAUGGUGUAAGUCCCAGACAUGGCUCGGAUCCAGAGUUGCUGUGGCUGUGUUGUAGGCCAGCAGGUAUAGCUCUGAUUCGACCCCUAGCCUGGGAACCUCCAUAUGCCACAGGUGUGGCCCUAAAAAGACCAAAAAAAAAAUGACUGAAUAAUUUUCCCCAGUAUGUUGCUCCACUUCAUUAUUUUUUAAACUUCUUCAGUCACCAUUAAAUUGAUAAUUUAAUUUAAAAAUUAUUGAAGUAUUUGUUAUGAAUUAUUCUUUAUUAUAUCUUGCAUGUAGACAUAGCCCUUCCAUUUUGAAUCACAGCCAUGGAUAAAAUUAAAAUCUCUACCUUGGUAACAGUAGUUACCAAAUUUUUUUUUCCUGCUCAUAUUUAAGGAGUGGCCUGAGGACCUAGAAUAAGUGAUGUAAAUCUCUUGUUUUUACUGGACUUAAGUUGGCUUGGAAUGCAUGUAGUAUAUUUUUGAAUUAUGCAAUAUAUUGAAGCCAAAAACAUUUCUUUCCAGCAAGGGAGAUUCUAACCAUGUAAUUGAAAGAAAUGGGUCAUAAACAGCCUAUGAAUAUGUGUUUCAGUUACAUUUCAUUCAAAUUAACUUUGGGGAUAUAUUUCCACAUAGAUUAUGAUAUGAAGUGUUAAAAAUAAAGAAAUUAUCUCUUGUAAAGAUAAUGACUCAUUUUCCCCCAUUCAGAUUAAACUUUACUAUUUGUUUUGAAUUUUUUCCUCAAAGAUAACUUAGUCAAUUAUUCCAAAUAUUGGAAAAUUCUUUUUGUGAUAUUGAUUGUCACAUGUGGUGACUGAGAGAUAUAUCCUGGGGGAGUCCUUCACAGUUGGACAUGUGUCCUUGAUGCUAAUAAGUUUAACUCAUAAGGGGGCAGUCCCUGCCUUCCCAUCCUGAGAUGGCAGUCUGAUUUAAAGAUCUCACCAAUCUUUUGGAGGCAUAACAUAAGCAUCCUAGCAAAGACUGCUACCAAUAGAGCAUCUCUUUUGCGCCCCCAGCAGAUAAGCAGCCUUUACUCAAUUUGAACGGACAUUGAGGGGAAAAGCUGAUAAACUGUCCCCAAGGAAAAUUAGAGCAGAACGCGUUCUUGCCAGUUUCUCAACAUUCUCAAUGUUCUUGGAAUUUCUCAAUUUAUAUUAACCCUCAGCAACUCAUACACGAAACACAGUAGUUUGUCCCAUUAAAACAGAUCUAAAAAUUACGACCCCGAUAAGGAAAACAGCAACAAUAACAACAACGACAAGAGGAAGGAAACUUUGAUUUCAUGGAAAUCAAAGUUUGGCAAGGCACACUUUCUGUUUUUAAGACAUACAUCUGAUAGGGUGAGCAGGCUUGUCGACAAAAAAUCACAAGGAUGUGAUUAAUGAACCCUAUUGUCACCAUCAUGUUUUAUAUAUAUAAUAUAAAUAUUAGAAGUUAUCACUGUUGUUGAAUAUUUUUAUAGUCAGCUCUAACAAAAAAGAGCCAGAAAAGAGCUAAUGAGGCAUUGCUUGACCAAAGACUUGAAGGAGAAGAAAUAAUAUUCUAGAAGUGGACCAUAUGGAAAAUGGAGGAACAGUGUUCCUGCAAAGGGAAUAGCUUAUGCAAAGGCAUGGAAGCAUUGAAUAGUUUUCAUCAUAGAACUUUCAUAGAACUUUAUGGUGGGAGUUUGAUUUUUUCUAGAGUCACACAACUCUUUUAAUGAGCUCACUUGGUCAAGUUUACUACUCUUUGCAUAGCAUCUUUCUCCUACUUUCUAAGUAUCUGGGUUUGUCCAACAUAUUGAGCUUCCUGAAUACGGUUUAGUUUAGCAGUUACUAUGACCCCCACCCCCAAACUCAAAAGAAAGGGCAACCAGCCCUCUUUUUGAAAUCAGAUCAUAUGCAAAUAGUGCUGGGGCUAAAAUAAUGAAGGCAGUUGUAAUAUAUAAAUAACUACAUUUAAAAUAGUGUCACUCUUGGGCCAAAAUUGGACUAUUGUAAAACAGUGCAUAAAUAACCGUCAUUUAAGUUGUUGAGGAGUUCAACAACUUAGUCCUUUUGUCAAUUUCCUGAAGCAAGGAAAAUGGAAUACUCCCUUACUUGUUCAUGGUUCAGUUUCAGCCCCUUUGGUAAUUCGUAUGAUUUUAUCCAGACAGCAAUCUUCUAGACUUGACAGUGAGGCUACAGCAAUUAUUUUAAAAGUGUAUUUGAAUAUCUGAUAAUGUUUUAUUUUUAUUUUUAAAGAUGGUGUGUUUACUAGAAAUGGUUUGUGAGGUAGCUAAGGGAGUUUGGAGCAGUAGAACUUGAAAUCUCCCAUGUCACAUAUAGUGACAACAUGGUUAGAGGCCAGUUUCCUUCUAACCACAGUAAAUACAGCAAGCCUUCCCGGUAGCUUAUUGCUCAUUGUAAUUGAGCAGCUAUGUGCACACCAUGCACAGAACCAAAUUAGAGGCAGCACUCAGGCUUUGUGACCUUUUGCAAACUGGGAUCCAGUAUCUCCCUCCUGGCUUCACAUUCAUGUAUCUGAAAAGCAAACAUGAGUUUGUUCCUCAAAAUGGAAGCCUGAUGUCUAAUGAAUUAUUUUCCAAAAUGAAGGGACUUGAGACUACUAUAUUGACAAGUCUGAAAACUUGUUUAUUGAAUGAAUGGGUCUACAUGAGUACAUGUAUUGAGAUGGCCUUAGCUGCAGUGAUUUAAGACUCAUAAGCUUCUUGGCCAAUGACAUGUUCUGUGAUGUAACCCAACAGUCUCUGAAGGAAGGAAGAAUAGCCACUCCCCAAAAUACUACUAUGUGGGUUUUUUACAACCACAUCUGCAGCAUGUGGAUGUUCCUGGGCUAGGGGGUCAAACUGCAGCUGCAGCCACAGCCACAGCAACACCAGAUCCUAGCCAAAUCUGUGGCCUGUGCCACAUCUGUGGCAACACCAAAUCCUAAACUACCCAGGGAGGCCAAGGAUCAAACCCACAUCCUCACAGACACUGUUGGGUUCUUAACCCACUCAGCCACAGUGGGGUCUCUGCUAUGUGGAUUCUUGAUGUAAAUGCACACAAGUUCAAGUCAGGUCUAUAUAGUCUAAUUCUAAUGAACUUCAGACAAAAUGACUGUUUAUGGACAUGCAGUAGCAUUAGGGAUU